CACGUAGGGGGCGAGCGUUGUCCGGAUUUAUUGGGCGUAAAGAGCGUGUAGGCGGCCAGGUAGGUCUGCUGUGAAAACUCGAGGCUCAACCUCGAGACGUCGGCGGAAACCAUCUGGCUAGAGUCCGGAAGAGGAGAGUGGAAUUCCUGGUGUAGCGGUGAAAUGCGCAGAUAUCAGGAAGAACACCCGUGGCGAAGGCGGCUCUCUGGGACGGUACUGACGCUGAGGAGCGAAAGCGUGGGGAGCGAACAGG
rnacentral:rRNA from 1 species